GACGAACGCUGGCGGCGUGCCUAAUACAUGCAAGUAGGACGCAGUUGCGAAAGGGUGAUUAACGCGUAGGCCCCUGCCGAUUAGUGGGGGCUAACUACUGGAAACGAUAGCUAAUACCGCAUACUAGUAGAUGGACCUGCGUUGUAUUAGCUAGUAGGUCGGGGAAUGGCCUACCUAGGGGACGUUACAUAGCCGAGCUGAGAAGGGUAUCGGCCAACCUGGGACUGGAGACCCGGCCAGACUCCUUCGGGAGGCAGGAAUAGGGAAUUUUCGGAAAUGGGGCGAAACCUGAACGAGCAACGGCGGGGUAGUGAAGAAGGUUUUCGGAUCGUAAAGCUCUGUUGUGAGGGGAGCGGUACUUAACCAGAAAGGGACGGCUAACUACGUGCCAGCAGCCGCGGUAAUAC
rnacentral:rRNA from 1 species